rnacentral:rRNA from 1 species
CGCCUGCCCUGUGACAAAGGUUCAACGGCCGCGGUAUUUUGACCGUGCAAAGGUAGCGCAAUCACUUGUCCUUUAAAUGAAGACCUGUAUGAAUGGCAUCACGAGGGCUUAACUGUCUCCUUUUUCCAGUCAAUGAAAUUGAUCCCCCCGUGCAGAAGCGGGGAUAAAACCAUAAGACGAGAAGACCCUAUGAAGCUUUAGACACAAGACAGACCUUGUUAAACACUUCAAAAUAAAGAAAUAAACUAAAAGAAUGCUGUUCCGAUGUCUUUGGUUGGGGCGACCACGGGGAAACAAAAAACCCCCAUGCGGAUUGAGAAAACAAUUCUCACAACCAAGAGCCGCAGCUCUAGUUAACAGAACUUCUGACUUUUUAGAUCCGGCAAUGCCGAUCCACGGACCGAGUUACUCUAGGGAUAACAGCGCAAUCCCCUUUUAGAGCUCCUAUCGACAAGGGGGUUUACGACCUCGAUGUUGGAUCAGGACGUCCUAAUGGUGCAGCAGUUAUUAAGGGUUCGUUUGUUCAACGAUUAAAGUCCU